rnacentral:lncRNA from 1 species
CUCAUUUUUCCCGGGCUUUCGGUCAGCGUUUACCUUUUCUCGCGGGUUUGGGCGCGCAUCGAACUCUGAAGGGUCGGGAAGGCCUGUCGUUGGAAUGUGGUUGAGUUCCAGGGAGUGUACAGGCUGGAGGAUGGGACAAGACCUAUCUCUGUAUCGAUCAAGCACGGCGUUGGUGUUCCAGCUCAUCACCGAUCCUAAGGAAUUCAAGUGCCUCCCAGGAUGAAUACAGGUUGUCUUGAUGGUGAUACAUUCAUCUGUCUUAAGAUCCCUGCUGAUCUGCUCAUGGUCAAACUCAUGGAAAGAGUUGAGAGUGGGGCACCUUGUUCCUGCAUCCUCAAAGGAGCAUCUUGUUCCUCUAUUUAAGCUUCCAGAGUUAAAAGGUACCUGUACCAUUUAGCGGCUUGUUCACUCAAAGAUCCAUCUUUUCUGGAGCCUGAGGAUGAUUGGAGGUGAAAGGUGUAAGCCAUACUCUGCUCAACUCCAGUCUGAAACUAAGGUUUAAAGAAAGAACACGUACUUAACACACGGGAAUCCAACUCUUGGAGGACAUCAGAAGUGGAAUUUUCUUAUACAACCUACCUAUUCAAAUUAGCAUAUAAUCUUUCUAGCCUUUCUAAAUAAAUAAAGGGAUUUUUUUGU